GGGUUGUGAGGUUAAGCGACUAAGCGUACACGGUGGAUGCCCUGGCAGUCAGAGGCGAUGAAGGGCGUGCUAAUCUGCGAUAAGCGCCGGUAAGGUGAUAUGAACCGUUAUAACCGGCGAUACCCGAAUGGGGAAACCCAGUGUGACUCGUCACACUAUCAUUAACUGAAUCCAUAGGUUAAUGAGGCGAACCGGGGGAACUGAAACAUCUAAGUACCCCGAGGAAAAGAAAUCAACCGAGAUUCCCCCAGUAGCGGCGAGCGAACGGGGAGGAGCCCAGAGCCUGAAUCAGCAUGUGUGUUAGUGGAAGCGUCUGGAAAGGCGCGCGAUACAGGGUGACAGCCCCGUACACAAAAGCGCAUGUGCUGUGAGCUCGAUGAGUAGGGCGGGACACGUGGUAUCCUGUCUGAAUAUGGGGGGACCAUCCUCCAAGGCUAAAUACUCCUGACUGACCGAUAGUGAACCAGUACCGUGAGGGAAAGGCGAAAAGAACCCCGGCGAGGGGAGUGAAAAAGAACCUGAAACCGUGUACGUACAAGCAGUGGGAGCCCCACCACCAAAGCAUUCUCUGGUGUUGAAGGCCCUGCAAAGCAGCAUCGCGGUGGCGGAGCGUCGUUUGCGACGCCCAACACACAAAACAAGCGGUGAGUGCUUUGGGGUGGGGUGACUGCGUACCUUUUGUAUAAUGGGUCAGCGACUUAUAUUCUGUAGCAAGGUUAACCGUAUAGGGGAGCCGGAGGGAAACCGAGUCUUAACCGGGCGUUAAGUUGCAGGGUAUAGACCCGAAACCCGGUGAUCUAGCCAUGGGCAGGUUGAAGGUUGGGUAACACUAACUGGAGGACCGAACCGACUAAUGUUGAAAAAUUAGCGGAUGACCUGUGGCUGGGGGUGAAAGGCCAAUCAAACCGGGAGAUAGCUGGUUCUCCCCGAAAGCUAUUUAGGUAGCGCCUCGUGAAUUCAUCUCCGGGGGUAGAGCACUGUUUCGGCUAGGGGGCCAUCCCGGCUUACCAACCCGAUGCAAACUGCGAAUACCGGAGAAUGUUAUCACGGGAGACACACGGCGGGUGCUAACGUCCGUCGUGAAGAGGGAAACAACCCAGACCGCCAGCUAAGGUCCCAAAGUCAUGGUUAAGUGGGAAACGAUGUGGGAAGGCCCAGACAGCCAGGAUGUUGGCUUAGAAGCAGCCAUCAUUUAAAGAAAGCGUAAUAGCUCACUGGUCGAGUCGGCCUGCGCGGAAGAUGUAACGGGGCUAAACCAUGCACCGAAGCUGCGGCAGCGACGCUUAUGCGUUGUUGGGUAGGGGAGCGUUCUGUAAGCCUGUGAAGGUGGCCUGUGAGGGUUGCUGGAGGUAUCAGAAGUGCGAAUGCUGACAUAAGUAACGAUAAAGCGGGUGAAAAGCCCGCUCGCCGGAAGACCAAGGGUUCCUGUCCAACGUUAAUCGGGGCAGGGUGAGUCGACCCCUAAGGCGAGGCCGAAAGGCGUAGUCGAUGGGAAACGGGUUAAUAUUCCCGUACUUGGUGUUACUGCGAAGGGGGGACGGAGAAGGCUAUGUUGGCCGGGCGACGGUUGUCCCGGUUUAAGCGUGUAGGUGUGUGUUCCAGGUAAAUCCGGUUCACUUUAACACUGAGGCGUGAUGACGAGGCACUACGGUGCUGAAGCAACAAAUGCCCUGCUUCCAGGAAAAGCCUCUAAGCAUCAGGUAACAUCAAAUCGUACCCCAAACCGACACAGGUGGUCAGGUAGAGAAUACCAAGGCGCUUGAGAGAACUCGGGUGAAGGAACUAGGCAAAAUGGUGCCGUAACUUCGGGAGAAGGCACGCUGAUAUGUAGGUGAAGCGGUUUACCCGUGGAGCUGAAAUCAGUCGAAGAUACCAGCUGGCUGCAACUGUUUAUUAAAAACACAGCACUGUGCAAACACGAAAGUGGACGUAUACGGUGUGACGCCUGCCCGGUGCCGGAAGGUUAAUUGAUGGGGUCAGCGCAAGCGAAGCUCCUGAUCGAAGCCCCGGUAAACGGCGGCCGUAACUAUAACGGUCCUAAGGUAGCGAAAUUCCUUGUCGGGUAAGUUCCGACCUGCACGAAUGGCGUAAUGAUGGCCAGGCUGUCUCCACCCGAGACUCAGUGAAAUUGAACUCGCUGUGAAGAUGCAGUGUACCCGCGGCAAGACGGAAAGACCCCGUGAACCUUUACUAUAGCUUGACACUGAACAUUGAGCCUUGAUGUGUAGGAUAGGUGGGAGGCUUUGAAGCGUGGACGCCAGUCUGCGUGGAGCCGACCUUGAAAUACCACCCUUUAAUGUUUGAUGUUCUAACGUGGACCCGUUACCCGGGUUGCGGACAGUGUCUGGUGGGUAGUUUGACUGGGGCGGUCUCCUCCUAAAGAGUAACGGAGGAGCACGAAGGUUGGCUAAUCCUGGUCGGACAUCAGGAGGUUAGUGCAAUGGCAUAAGCCAGCUUGACUGCGAGCGUGACGGCGCGAGCAGGUGCGAAAGCAGGUCAUAGUGAUCCGGUGGUUCUGAAUGGAAGGGCCAUCGCUCAACGGAUAAAAGGUACUCCGGGGAUAACAGGCUGAUACCGCCCAAGAGUUCAUAUCGACGGCGGUGUUUGGCACCUCGAUGUCGGCUCAUCACAUCCUGGGGCUGAAGUAGGUCCCAAGGGUAUGGCUGUUCGCCAUUUAAAGUGGUACGCGAGCUGGGUUUAGAACGUCGUGAGACAGUUCGGUCCCUAUCUGCCGUGGGCGCUGGAGAACUGAGGGGGGCUGCUCCUAGUACGAGAGGACCGGAGUGGACGCAUCACUGGUGUUCGGGUUGUCAUGCCAAUGGCACUGCCCGGUAGCUAAAUGCGGAAGAGAUAAGUGCUGAAAGCAUCUAAGUACGAAACUUGCCCCGAGAUGAGUUCUCCCUGAGACUUUAGGUCUCCUGAAGGAACGUUGAAGACGACGACGUUGAUAGGCCGGGUGUGUAAGCGCAGCGAUGCGUUGAGCUAACCGGUACUAAUGAACCGUGAGGCUUAACCUUACAACGCCGAAG
rnacentral:rRNA from 1 species